rnacentral:rRNA from 1 species
UAGGCGUAACACCCCCCACCCGCAGCCCGCCAGAGGAUUACGAGUGAAAAACUUAAAACUCCAAGGACUUGACGGUGUCCUAUCCGUACUAGAGGAGCCUGUCCUAUAAUCGAUACUCCACGCUAUACCUUACCCCCCCUUGCCCAACCUAUAUACCGCCGUCGCCAGCUUACACUGUGAACUCACCCCCGUAAGCACAACUACCACACAUAAACACGACAGGUCAAGGUGUAGUUCAUGGGGGGCCAGUGAUGGGCUACAUUUUCUCACCAGAAAACACCCCCCGCACCAUGAAACUGCCCCAAGGCGGAUUUAGAAGUAAACUUGGCUAGCACUGCCAACUUGAAGCCCUAGGACGC